UACAGAGGGCGCGAGCGUUGUCCGGAAUCACUGGGCGUAAAGGGCGCGUAGGUGGCCACCAUAAGGCCGCGGUGAAAGUUCGGGGCUCAACCCCGGAUCGGCCGCGGCGACUGUGGGGCUGGGGUACUGUAGAGGCAGGUGGAAUUCCGGGUGUAGCGGUGGAAUGCGUAGAGAUCCGGAAGAACACCCGUGGCGAAGGCGGCUCUCUGGGACGGUACUGACGCUGAGACGCGAAAGCGUGGGGAGCGAACAGG
rnacentral:rRNA from 1 species